CUAUCUUGAAAAGAAAUUAAAAAUGUUAAAAAUAGUAAGCCCCAUGUGAGUAUGCUCGUCGCAUAAAACCCAUAAGUACAUUCACUAUGGUGGCGUAAAAAUAAAAUAAAUAUAUUCCUGUCCUAUAAAAAUGAAAAUAUAAAAAUAAGAUUGUGAUCCUACUAAAGAGGGUAACAUUUAUAGAGGAGGCUCAACAUGAUAAAGGCUAGAUAUUUAUGUUCCACAAAGUUUUGUUUUCUAUUUGAGCUCCACGGAAUUCAAGGAUCAAGAAACUAGCUGAAGGAGGACAUCCUAAUCGCUGUCGGGGUGCUGCCGACAUUUAAAUACACCUCCGCCACCUGCUAGCUACAUCAGAAAAAAUUACAUCAAAAUCCAGCUUGGCGGAGAGCACGCCCAUUUAUCCAGCUAAGUGUUUCUAUCUAUGUUUAUACUUAUACUUUGUUAAAAUAAUAAAAAGAUGCAUAAUCAUAAAAACCCAAAUAAAGAUUUUGUGCUUAUAUCUUUGCUUAGUUUGCAAAAUAAAUAAAUAAAGUGUCUAUGCUAAAUUGAACUCCAAUGAUAAACUCUUACAUGGAUAUGAUGAAAAGUUGCUCUGCCAAGUACAUAGUUUUCAAAUUUGAGCUCUCUCUCUCUCAAGUUUAGACAUAACUGUUAUAAUUUAAAAAUUGCUCUAAAUCUAAUCUUGUGGGAAGAUAACUUGAUAUAAAGUCUAAGUCGUUAAUGGAUAUGAUAUGGGAAGGUUGAGCUGCUAUUUAUCUGUUCCUAGAGAUGCUAGAAUUCUAGAGAAUUUUAUCUUUGAAAAUCUUUAAAAUAUUGCAUGAUGAGUUCUUGUAUGAUGAGAGUUUAAAAUCCUACCACAGCCAUAUAUACAUGCUUAUUAAACUAUGAACCAUACAUUUACUUUUUAUUGUUUAUGAGCAUUGAGUGUGAGAUUCACUUGCACGUUCACUCAUACAUGCUACUUCUACUCCGGAAGAACGCAUCCACAUACAUCCACUCAAUUCCAUCUCCAGAUUCACCUAAAAACUAUUAUACUACUAUCCGGGAGAGAAUAGCCAAAAACUUGUUCCUAUCCCUAUUAUUCCCUGUGAAAUAAAUACUCGAGUUAUCUUGGUUACUACCACUUGCUAUAUUAUUCUAGGAGGAUGAGUGCUCUGAAAAAAAUAUGAAUACGGGGAAAUAAAAAAGUGGCAAGUGCCCGAAACCUCGAAAAAAGAAAAAGUGAGAUGAGAGGUGAAAAUAGACAAGUGUCCGACAGUAGAAUUAGAGGUACAAGAUACCCACCUGAGAGAAAAGAAAAAAUAAAAUAUAGAGCAUCUCAUUCCCCUCAAAAGCCUCAAGUGCAAGGAAGGUAUAUACCCCCUCAGAAGAGCAAAAGUUGAAUUAGACUUUCACAAUUAUUUUCACCAUUAUCACCAUUCAUUCGCCACACAUGCACAUCUUGAUUUGACUUAUUGACAUGUUCUUCUGGAUCCAUGGUUUGACUAUGUAAUAAAUGUCUUGUAAGUACGUAUUAGCUAUCUCCCACCUAUGAGCUCCAGAUAUCAAAACAUUAUUAGAGUAGGGUGAGAGAAAAGGUAGUGUCACUAUGCCUCAUACCAAAAAUACCACAUAAUUUGAGAGAAGGCAUACACCAUUACUGCCUUAGUAAGGAUCCAGAAAUACCACAAAAGAGAGACUAGAGAGAGUCAUAGAAGGAAUCUCUGAGUUUUAUUUGAAAAUCUACAAAAAAAACUCCAGAGCUAUAGUUGAUCAAGAACAAGCGACAUGGCGCUUGACUUGACCAUUCUAUCCUUUAACUACUCAAGACACAAGUGAUGGUUACAAGCCCCAUGGUGGAAGGUAAUAUGAGUAAGUUUAAAUCUUAACAGUUUACCCUAACCCAGAGAAGAGAUCUUGUUUGAACGCAUGUGUAACUUUAAGGCAUGCAACCACUGUAGAAACUCUUGAGUCCAUCCUUGCUCAUGGACGAGCAAGAGGUGAGCUUGGGGGAGACAUUGGCGGUCCAUAAGUACCAAAUAUAAUCAUCAAAUAAAUUAAUAGAAGGAUCCAAAUGCAACCAACACCCAGACUUAGGGUUUUAUCUGAUAGAAUUCCACGAGUUUUGGUGUUUGUCUAUUUGUGGAGGGGGGUAUCAGGAAAUAUGGAGAAAAGGCCCAUACGUCGGGUUUACAUAGAGAUAUUAAUGUGUGUGCCAAUUUUCUAUCAUCUAGAAGAGUCCAGAAGCCACAGGAACAAACGGGAGGCCGAGCGGGCUGUUGACGGUCCUUAAUGCUCACAUUUAACCGUCAACUAAUCAUGGAAAAGGACCUAUAUACAACCAACAUCCAAAAUUAGGGUUUCAUCUGACAGAAUUCCAUGAGUUUUGGUGUUUGUCUAUUUUUGUAGGGGGUUAUCAGGAAACAUGGAGGAAAGGCCCACACGUCGGGUUUACAUAGAGAUAUUAACGUGUGUUCCAAUUUUCUAUCAUCUAGAAGACUCUAGAAGCCACGGGAACGAACGGGAGGCCAAGCGGGCCCGAGGGCUGGGCGCCCGCCCUACCCCCUUGGGCGCUCGCCCUGCCCUUGUGACCAAUCAGGGCAGGUCUCGUGGAUCGUGCUCCACCGCCUCUAAUCUUUAAGAAUAACCGUGCGAUUAAGGUCGGUUUGAUCCGACGGCCCAUAUUCAUUUGGAGGGGCUAUAUAAGCAGGCCCCCUGGCCCCUGGAGGCAUACCUCUUCUACAGAAUCAAAGCUAGGGUUUCAAUUAUUCAUACAAGUAGAGAGGAUCCCUCUAGUUCAUCUAGUUCUAGUUCUAGUUCAUCUAGUUCUAGUUCUAGUUCGUUUUAAUUGUAAUCUAGAAAAUAGGGAGAUAGGAGGAGAGCGGAGGAGGAGCCGGAUCUGUCGGAUCUUCCUCAAUAUUGUACUUUUGCAGCAACUGGUUCGUUCUUCAUCGUUCUCCAAGUUCUUCAAUUCUUAAUUCCUGAGUUCUUUAAUUACUUUUAUUUAAAUUCAAGUUAUUUAUUAGAUUCCCGCUUGUAUCAAGUGCUCUAGUCUUUGAAACGCUAGAGUAGUAAUUAAUAGAUUAGACGUGGUGUUUAGUCUUGCAAUUACCUGGAAUUGCACCCAAUCCUGCGGAUUGUUGUGGUAGCCCUAGGGUAGUGAUAGCCCUAACGGUCGACGUAUUCCACCUCGUUCGGAUCGGUGUUUGUAGGACCGUAGUUAGAGCUUCCUAGCCCCCUUAUCAUCUCUUUCCGUGGUUAGUGUUAUGAUGUCCCGAAAUAAAUAAUCUUUGAAGUAAUUCUUUAUUCUUAGAUCAAUUAGAGAAUUCUCAGGAAACUUCCUCUCUUCCCACCAAAAAUAAUUAUAUAGUUAUCCUUGGGUGAUUUUGAAUCUUAAUUAGUACACUCACGUUCCCUAUGGAAAAUGGAUACUCUGGAAUACUCCCAGGUGAAAGCUACAUCGGUAUCCGUGCGCUUGCGGAUUUUUUCUAUUUGCGUUUAAAAUAACCAACAAGCUUUCUGGCGCCGUUGCCGGGAACGAUAGUAGUGCUAGUUUCGAACCAAGUCGUCCGUGUAUCCUUUUUUUUCCUUUUUUACCACACUCACCUUACCAUUUUCACCAUACCACAUGGAUUUCACUCCAAUCAUUAAUGAGCAUGGAAUUUAUUUCAUAGCCACUUCGUUUACUCCAUGCUCAUAUGCAACAUCUUCCCAAUCUAUUGGUCUCUCCAACAUCACCACAUUCGAGAUCUCCAACCCCCUCUUCCUUUCUAUUUAUAAAAACUUUAAAAGGGCGAUUGUCAAUGCAUAUGUCUAUAAUAAAUAUUGCAGAUCUCGUUGAGUUGAUCUUGAUAUAGGUCAGCAUUGGAGGGGAAACCACUUCGCCGACAUAAAUUGAUGGUUUCCCAAGGACAAUCUUAAUGUCCUAAAAUAAGCAUUGAUCAGAUCGUAACAUGUGCUUUUAAUUAUUUGCAACAUUACCUUGUGUAUUGAGCAUAUAAGGAUAAUUGUAAAAAAUUCCUUCGGGUAUUCUUGUCACUAACCUUUCCGGGAUUGGAGCAAGAAGAUCGGAUGAAGGACAAGCACAAGGUAUGUCCAACCAAUCAUCAUACAACAUUGAAUUAAAUUUAUCCAAACUUGAAUUUUGCAAAAUUCAAGCUUGGGGGAGUACUUUAUAUAGAAACAUCCUUUGCCAUAUUGCUAUGUUGGUUGUCCCUACCUUUGAGACAUGCUCAAUUUGUUAAAUACUAAUCACACUACUUCAUCUCCAUUUGAGUAGAUCUCUAUAAAUGCUCUCAUGCUACCUUUAUUUGCUUUAGUAUAUGUCUAGGUUUGGAGUAGUUUUAUUUAUCUCUUAAUUUAAGCAUGGUGCUUAGUUUAGGAAUGAUGUUCUUUCUUCCAAGGGAUUUUAAAUUAAGCAUGGUGCUUAGGUUAAAAUGCCCUCCUAAAUCAAAUUAGACAUGGUGUCUAGGUUGAGUUUUGAGCCGAUAGUAUGCUAUAGUAGAUAUUGGAUAUUUUGUUGGACUAACGGCUGUAGGAAAACUUUCAAUAUUGACCUGGGAAGUCCUAAGAUAAACCCACAUUGGAGACAAAGAGUGACACAUGAAGUUUAACAAUUUACACAAGGAAGACAUAGCUCAUAAGAGAUGAUCCAUGGAGGGUGCAACAAACACGUUGCACAAUCGCUAAGAAAGGAAAGCUUCCACAAGGUGAUACUGUACCAUUACUCUUCAAGUAAGGUAACAUCUUAAGGUACUUGAUUAUCACUUUUAUAAGCUUCUCCUUGGUUCUGGCGUUCACAUGAAUAAAAGAGACAAACAUGUAUGAUUUACAACUCUAGAUUAACCAACCCAAUCGAUUCAAUAUGUUUAGUCCUUGCACCGUUGUGAUCCCACACUCCUAAUCAUAUGAGCUAAAAUGUUGCACACACAAUCUUUGGAAGAUAUAUAAAAAACACAUAAGUAUAGAUAGAUUAUCUUUCCAUUAGGUUGAGCGAUCUGAUCUAACAAAUGUUUUAAAUGCUACACUCAUGAUCUUAUUAUCCAUCAACUUUGUCUUGCUCACUAUGCUUAAGGAUAGAGAAGAACAAAUACACUUUUGGUUCUGUUGGUGUUUUCCACCAACAGGGCCCAUGCACUUGAUCUCUGCCUUGUCUCUAUGAGCAGGUAUACUUCGAGCAAAAUAUGGAGGAGUUGUACAACUCCCAGACUCCACCAAGUGAAGAACCUGGAUCUACGAGCACAAACACACUGAGCAGGAUGCUGCCAAUGCCGCACUUUGAACUGCUGGCCAAUCGAAGAACAUGGGUGACACCGUUGUUGGGCAUUUUAACGUCACUACCAAAAGUAGACUUAGUUUUCUAAUUCUGAUAACGGCGCCAAAAAUGCCAAACCUAUCUCUCAUGCCACUUAAGUCAAGUUGUCAUCCCCAGCAUGACAUAAGAGACGCGGUAUUGAAAUAUACAUUUGCUCUUCUAAAUAAAUAAUAAAUGAGAUCUGCAAGCGCACAGAUUAAUACCGAUGUAGCAUUUUAGCCAGGAAGUAUUCCAGGUAUCGUUAUUUAUAUUUUUACCACUGGGAAGGGAUUGCUAAACAUCAAUGUUGAUUAUGGAAUGGAAUAUAGAAUUGAGUAUCUAUCAUUGCAUGUAUAAUUGAGAGCAUCUAUCUAUCUCUUUCAUACAGGGAUAAAUGUCACAUAAAAGAUAGAUAAAAUAUGAAUGGUAACAAAGAUAAUUAAUCUGAUCAACAUAACUUAGCUACAUAUAAAUAUGAUAAGCACCUCAAUAGAUAUUCUAGCAAGUCAUUAGGAUCGAAUUAGGACGAACUACAAGAAUAUUUCCUAAGUUAUUCUUAACUAUAAAGUCUAGCAUAUGAUAGUUAGUGCAAUUAUACUUGGCAAUCAUUGCAAGACAGGACUACGCCCAUGAAUAGUAAUAUUUUCAAGGAAGAUGAGAAACAUAGGAAUCACUCCCCUGUAAUAAUAUUGCUCUGCCAGCCCUAUACACGAGAGGGGGACUAUAUAAGAAUCAAUGGAGCUGUCACUACCACGAACUAUCCCGCGAUCUGGCAUAUAGGGUACAAUCGCAGAUAAAUACGGUAUAGGCACCACACCUACACAAUACUUAUCAUUUACCCAUUGUACACAUGGAUAAACGCUAUACGAUCCUAAACAUGUAUAUAAUUCCAAUCUAACUAAGCCAAGCAUAUAAACUAGUUUAGCAUAACUAUGAUAAACUAAGAACAAUAUAAUUGCGAAUAUAAACAAGUAGAGCAAAGUCAUAAUCAAUAUAUUGAAGUAGAACAAAGUCAUAUUCAUAAUAUUGAAGAACAAUAGAGGAAUUACCAAGAAUCCUCUUGACAGAUCCGGAAACCAAUCGAAGAUUGACUCCUUCUAGUUCUAAUCCUAUGUAGCUAUGCUAAACUAUAGAUCUAUUGAUGUGGUGGUUCUAGGGCUUGAUCAGAGGCUUCUUCUCUCGAGAUGGAUAAUGAAUUAGGUUUUCUAAAGGAUAGAGGUCCUCUCCUCCAGGGGCCAGGGGGUCUGCUUAUAUAGUCCUUCCAAAUGAAUGUGGGUCGUCGGAUCAAACCGACAUUAAUCGCAUGGUUUUCCUUGAUCCUUUAGGUCGGUGGAGCAUGAUCAGCGAAGUUGAACUUAAUUGGUUCUCAGGCCUAGGCGCCGCCCAAGGGGGGAGGGCGGGCGCCUUGCCCCCGGGCCCAAUCGGCCUCCCAUUCGUUCCCGUGGCUUCUGGACUCUUCUAGAUGUUAGAUAAUUACACGGCACGUUAAUAUCUCUAUGUAAACCCGACAUGUGGGCCUUUCUUCCAUAAUUCCCAAUAACCCCCUGCAGAAAUAGACAAACACCAAAACUCAUAGAAUUCUGUCAGAUAGAACCCUAAGUCUGGAUGUCGGUUGCUUUUGGAUCCUUUUCUUUAUUUAUUUGCUUAUUAUAUUUGAUACUUAAGGACCGUCAACAACCGUAUCAAGAGGUGCAGACGUCAAGGUCCACACCUGAAUCAAAUGAUGCACCUAAAGAAUGAACAAGGUGAGAAGUUUUGUUUAGAAGACUUAAAACAUUGAACCCUCGCUGAAAGGUAAAAUCAGUAGUUAUCCAUAUUUAUCCUUUCUGCAUUCCCUUUUUCCUUAAAUUAUUCACUUUCCUUAAAUAGCUUGUUAGUUAAUCAUGCUAUCUUUAAAAGAAAUUAAAAAUGUUAAAAAUAGUAAGCCUCAUGUGAAUAUGCUCGUGGCAUAAAACCCAUAAGUACAUUCACUACGGUGGCGUAAAAAUAAAAAUAUUCCUGUCCUAUAAAAAUGAAAAUAUAAAAAUAAAAUUAUGAUCCUACCAAAGAGAGUAAUAUUUAUUAGAGGAAGCUCAACAUGAUAACGGCUAAGAGAUUUUAUGCUAACACUUAACCAGUUCCACAAAGCUUUGUUGUCUAUUUGAGCUCCACAGAAUUCAAGGAUCAAAAAAGACUAGCAGACGAAGGCAUCCUAAUCGCUGUCAGGGUGCUGCCGACAUUCAAAUACACCUCCGCCACCUGCUAGCUACAUCAAAAGAAAUUACGUCAAAAUCCAGCUUGGGGGAAAGCACCCUCAUUUAUCCACCUAAAUGUUCCACUCACGUUUAUACUUUACUCAAAUAAUAAAAAUAUGCAUAAUCAUAAAAGCCCAAAUAAAGAUUUUGUGCUUAUAUAUAUCUUUGCUUAGUUUACUAAAUAAAUAAAUAAAUAAAUAAAGUUUGCUAUGAACCAUCAUGAUAAUCUCUCAAAUGGAAAUGAUGAAUAGUUGCUCUGCCAUGACUAGUUCUCAAAAUUGAAAUCGCUCUCAAGUUUAGGCAUGACUGUUAUUAAUUAAGAUUUGCUCUCAAGCCUGAACUUGUGGGAAGAGUACUUGAUCUAAAGUCUAAGUCGUUAACGGAUACGAUAUGGGAAUGUUGAGCUGUUGUUUAUCUGUUCCUAGAGAUGCUAGGAUUCUAGAGAAUUUUAUCUUUGAAAAUCUUUAAAAUAUUGCAUGAUGAGUUCCUAUAUGAUCAGAGUUUAAAAUCCUACCACAGCCAUAUAUACAUGCUUAUUAGACUAUGAAACAUACAUUUCCUUUUUACUGCUUAUGAGCAUUGAGUGUGGUCAAACUGUGUAGACCCUUAGGAGCUUGUCAUGCGGUUAAAAUCAAGAUUCACUUGCACGUUCACUCAUACAUGCUGCUUCUACUCCGGAAGUAUGCAUCCACAAACAUCCACUCAUUUCCAUAUCCAGAUUCACCCAAAAUUAUUCUACUCCUAUCUAGGAGAGAAUAGCCAAAAACAUUAUCCUAUCCCUGUUAUUCCCCGUGAAAUAAAUGUUCGAGAUAUUUUAGUUACUACCACUUGCUACAUUAUUCCAGGAGGGUGAGUGCUCUGAAAAAAAGUGAAUACGAGGAAAUAAAAAGGGGCAAGUGCCUGAAACCUCGAGAAACAAAAAGUGAGAUGAGAGGUAAAAAUGGACAAGAGUCCGACAGUAGAAUUAGUGGUACAAGAUACCCAACUGAGAGAAAAGAAAAAUAAAAUAUAGAGAAUCUCAUUCCCCUCAAAAGCCUCAAGUGCAAGGAAGGUAUGUACCCCCUCAAAAGAGCAAAAGUAGAAUUAGACUUUCACCAUUAUUUUCACCAUUAUCACAAUUCAUUCGCCACACAUGCACAUCUUGAUUUGACUUAUUGACCUGUUCUUCUGGAUCCAUGGUUUGACUAUGCAAUAAAUAUCUUGUAAGUAAGUAUUAGCUGUCUCCCACCUAUGAGCUCCAAAUAUCAAAACCUUAUUAGAGUAGGGUGAGAGAGAAGGCAUUGCCACUAUGCCUCAUACCAAAAAUACCACAUACUUUG
rnacentral:lncRNA from 1 species